rnacentral:rRNA from 1 species
UUGAGGGGCAUGAUCUGCGUAUAAGCUUAGAGCCCUAGCUUAUUAGUCCGUAGGGUAGAAUACCCAACAACAAGCAGGCUUGGGCUAGAGUCGUACUGGGAUGGGUGACCUAUUGAGAAGUCCUAGUGUUGCACCCU